GACGAAGGUGGCGAGCGUUACUCGGAAUUACUAGGCGUAAAGCGCGAGCAGGCGGUUCGACAAGUCCGUUGUGAAAGCCCCGGGCUCAACCCGGGGAGGUCAAUGGAUACUGUCGGACUUGAAUACGGGAGAGGUCACUGGAAUUCCUGGUGUAGCGGUGAAAUGCGUAGAUAUCAGGAGGAACACCGAAGGCGAAGGCAGGUGACUGGACCGUUAUUGACGCUGAGUCGCGAAAGCCGGGGGAGCAAAC
rnacentral:rRNA from 1 species